rnacentral:sRNA from 1 species
AUGGACCACGCGUACACACCGGUUUUGAGCGCGCCGUCCACUCCCACCUGACGACUGCUCGCUACGUCUCCUUAGCC